UCUGUAGCCUAGAUACAGCAGGCCUCUGUGCGUUUUGGCACGGAAAAGAAACUGGACAACAGGUGCCACCGAGGAAGGCCUUCCACACAGCCUCAAAGACUAAUCAAUAACAAUUCGUCACCACAGCUUCACCACAGGCGAUGAGUUGAACAGUGUGGUCAUAAGGUUUGAUUGGUUUGAGAAAGUGCAGCAUGAAAGCAAACCGCACCAACAGAAAAUCUGCAAUUUGGUCCCCAAUGGAACCGAGUCUACCGGACUAUGAGUUUUACAUCCACCUGCCAAGGGACCAGAGAUGAAAAUUAGCCAUAGGCUAUAAUCUCACAUAUUUACUCUGUG